rnacentral:rRNA from 1 species
UACGUAGGGGGCAAGCGUUGUCCGGAUUUAUUGGGCGUAAAGAGCGUGUAGGCGGCUUUACAGGUCCGUUGUGAAAACUCGAGGCUCAACCUCGAGACGCCGGUGGAAACCGUAAAGCUAGAGUCCGGAAGAGGAGAGUGGAAUUCCUGGUGUAGCGGUGAAAUGCGCAGAUAUCAGGAAGAACACCCGUGGCGAAGGCAGCUCGCUGGAACGGUACUGACGCUGAGGCGCGAAAGCGUGGGGAGCGAACAGG